AGUGAACGCUGGCGGCGUGCCUAACACAUGCAAGUCGAACGAUGAUGGAGGAGCUUGCUCUUCCUGAUUAGUGGCGCACGGGUGAGUAACGCAUAGGUAAUGUGCCCCUUAGUCUGGGAUAGCCACUGGAAACGGUGAUUAAUACUAGAUACUCCUUCUCAUUAUAAGAUGAGUCGGGAAAGUUUUUCGCUAAGGGAUCAGCCUAUGUCCUAUCAGCUUGUUGGUGAGGUAACGGCUCACCAAGGCUAUGACGGGUAUCUGGUUUGAGAGGAUGGAUCAGACACACUGGAACUGAGACACGGUCCAGACUCCUACGGGUGGCUG
rnacentral:rRNA from 1 species